GGUGUUGUAGCAGAUUUCAGACUGCCUCAGUUCAACCCUAACAGCCCCAUCGGUCAGGAGUUUGUGGUCCCUAAAUCAGGAUUUUUCUGUAACAUCUGCUCUGUUUUCUGCCUGAAUGAGAAGACCGCCAAGGAACUCCACUGCUGCAGCCAGAAACACUACGACAACCUGCAGAAGUAUUAUGAGGAACGUCGACAAAGAGCUACAAAGACUUUGUCUCACACGUCUCCAGGCUCCGUUUCUGACUGAUGGACCUGAUCUACUGGAGAACAAGCCAUUGUUAUUGAUCCUACUAGUUCAGAAACUAAACUAAUCGCCUUCUGGCACCUUUUGUUGUAAGUUAUAUAUGUCUUCUUUGAUGAAUUGUCUCCCAGCCUUUCAGUUAGUGCUUCUGUUUUUGUUUGUACAGGCCGAUGGAGAGCACCGUUUUGAUCUUGUUACUAUUUUAUCUUUUAUGUGAAAAUAUUAUUGAGAAAUUGUCCCUAUUAAUUUAGUUAACAUCAGGAGGUACCUGACAGCUGUUAACAGUUUACUAAAUCUUGUUUUUUUUUUUUUGCUCAUUUAGAUCUUUGGCUUCAGUUUCUUUAAGUGUCCAAAAUGUGUUUGCUGCUGUUCUGUUAAACAUGAAAUAAAACCUGUCACAUGUGUGUCAUACA